UACAGAGGUCUCAAGCGUUGUUCGGAUUCAUUGGGCGUAAAGGGUGCGUAGGCGGCGGGGUAAGUCAGGUGUGAAAUCUCGGGGCUCAACCCCGAAACUGCACUUGAUACUGCCUCGCUUGAGUACUGGAGAGGAGACUGGAAUUUACGGUGUAGCAGUGAAAUGCGUAGAUAUCGUAAGGAAGACCAGUGGCGAAGGCGAGUCUCUGGACAGUUACUGACGCUGAGGCACGAAGGCCAGGGGAGCAAACGGGG
rnacentral:rRNA from 1 species